AUUAUUUCCGCGAUUUGCAAAACUGAUACGGAGCAGUCUAGCUAGAUGUAAAUCUAAAUCUGGAGUCUAGAAGCGUUCAAAGUUAGCUGAGUCAUUACUAGAUCUGGCUUGCAAACAGUGACAUAUUCAUAAGAGUAAGGAUAUGACUUGUAAUAUUUGUUUGGAAAAAGUGAAAGAGAUUUCUACAAAUAGCUACUAACCCUAACCCAAAGUCAAAGCAAGCAUUGAUAGCAGAAGUAUAGAGACUUUAGAAACUAUGGCCCUUAAAGCAUUAACCGCAGUGGUCAUACUUUUUGGCCUUGGACUAGCAUCUCUUGAUGGUGUCAGAUGUUCUCCUUUACAAACAAAAACUUGUGGCAAAGGGCAAAAAUUGGAAGAUGGUCGAUGUCAAAAUUGUGAAAUGAAUACAUUCAAUGAUAAGGUUGCCCACAGCCUUGACUUUUGCAAGCCAUGUACUAAGUAUCAUUUGGAAUUUAAUGAAAACUAUUGUAAUGUUACAAUCAUCAAUUGCACUAGGGAUACUGACACUGUAAUUCUGUGUGGUAAUGGCUGCUAUCUUGGAUACAGUAGAGAUGAAUGCUGGCCAUGUUCUAAUUGUACCCAUAAGGCUAAUAAGCACAUUGGUCGAGAGUGUCAGGCAAAUGAUGAUACCAUUUGCUGUCCGAAACUAAACAUGACAGUGGUUCUAGAACAGAAUUAUUUUAAAUGUAUUUCCAACUAUUCCAUUGAGAAUGCUACAGACUUCACUACUUCACAAAAGGACAUGACCACUGAUUCUCCACAAACUAGUGUUAAGAACAAUGUCACUGACAGUGUCAUGCAUGGAGACUCUGGAAUCAGUUGGCUACAUAUUUUUGUCCCAGCAAUUUGUGUUAUCAUAUUUAUAUUAAUAAUUCUUGUACUGUAUUUCAGAGUUCAGAUAUGUAAUAUUGUGAAAAGAAAAUUUUGUAAAGCUAAGUUUUUACCUGUCCCGCAAAGUGAUAAUGAAAACAAUAAUUUGUAACUUUUGUAAUUAUAAUUGGAGGUACUCUUUGUCUGUUAUAGAGGUAUAUAAAGUGAAUGCAUCCUGAAGUGUGGUAGCAAACUGGUAUAGAUUGAGUCUGUUGGUUGUUUUAGUUGUAUUUUUAAUCAUCUAGCUACUCAAUGUUCUGAGUGAGUUCAUUAUUUUCAUUAUUAGUUGUGUUAAAUAGAUACUAAAACAAGGUAUUUAAGUAUCUAAUUUUACUAUAUUGUUACUACAUGAAUAUUAUUUUUUUUUAAAUUGUAAUGUUUUGUAAUGUUUGAAGCUUUAAAUUACUUCAUUUAAUAGAGAAAAAUACUGAAAGCAUGUUUUAUUUGAAGAUAAUGAUGUUAGUUAUUUAACGCAACUUUAUUAAUUAGUUAAAUUUUCAGAAAAAUAUUUUUCUUUUUACCCAAAUGUAUGUUUGAAAAUAUCAAAAUCUUCUUAAAUAUGUACUUAUUUAAUUUUUUUUUUGUGAUACACUUUCAUCUUCAUAUAUAUAUAUAUAUUUAUAUUAUUCAAUUAUUUAUUUAUUUAAACAUAUAUAUGUAUAUACAUGUAGACACACAACUCUAAUGGGUACCUGACUUAAGUUGGGGAAAGUAAAGGCGGUUGGUCAUUGUGCUGGCCACAUAACACCCUGCUUGUUAAUCAUUGGCUAAAGAAACAGAUGACCUUAACAUCAUCUGCCCCAUAGAUCACAAGGUCUGAAAGGGGAAACUUUACUUUACUAGACAAAUUUAUUACCAUUAAAUAUACACAUAAACAAGUUUAAAGUUUUCCAGCAGUGUUAUUUAUCAGUUAUAUGUCAUAAAAAAAUGUCUAUAUCAUGUAGACUGGUUAGUGUUUACUGUUGAUCUUUAAGUUUUUGUAAGCAAAUGAGAAAACCAUUUCUUUAAUUUUAGCCAUGACACCUGUAUUUUAAACAACUAGCAACCACUCAACUUGUUUUGAUUACAUUUUUUUUAGCGUAUUCCUUACCACCAUUUCUUUAAUUUUAGCCAUGACACAUGUAUUUUAAACAACUAGCAACACUCAACUUGUUUGGUUACAUUUUUUUUUAGCCUAUUUUUGAACCACUAUGAAAAAAGUCCUUAAAUGUAUUUGUUGUUAAUAUUUCUCAAGUCACUUAAAUCUAACUGUGUUCACCAUAUAGUGUGCAUAUAGCUCUCAUCAGCUGUCAUUUGCUUUUUUAAAAUCAUAAGUAAUCCAUCCUUUCAAGAAAAAUAUCAUUUUAGUGGAACUACACUGUCAUGUUUAAUUUAUUUAUUUCAACUUCUGUUUUUAAAUGAAUAUAAAUGUAUUCAUUAUUAAAAUUACUAAAAUCUUUUGUUUAUGUUUAGAAAUGUUUAAAAUGACUGCCUGGUCUGUGUUGCAGUCUGUUGUCUCAAUGAUUCCCUGCCUUCUAUCAUCCCCCACCAUUGUAAGGGGGAUGGUUAGGGCUAUGAUGUAAUUUUGUAAAAGAAUAAAGAAAAAAAGUCUAGAUCUAUAUUACAUAGAUCUAAGAUUUAAAAGGGGAGAGAGUGAGAGACAGUGACCAGGCUUGAUCUGCAUGUAAAGCAUGUGCAUGCAGUUGAGCUCAGGUCAGUACAUCUCCUUAUCUUAUAUAAUACAGAUGUUACUUCAAAAAAGAUGAUGAUUACAUCCUAGGACAUCGUUGUACAUGGGGAUAGACAGCUACCAAUUAUUGACCUGAAAAAACCUGGGGCCUUCAAUGUAAAGCUUUACCACCUUCAAUCUAAAGGAACGCCUAAAACAUGUAAAUUAAAAAUAUUUUCUAUUUAUUCAUGAAUCAAAAUUUUAUUUAUUUUUU